UACGAAGGGGGCUAGCGUUGCUCGGAAUCACUGGGCGUAAAGGGCGCGUAGGCGGCCGAUCAAGUCGGGGGUGAAAGCCUGUGGCUCAACCACAGAAUUGCCUUCGAUACUGUUUGGCUUGAGACCGGAAGAGGUUAGUGGAACUGCGAGUGUAGAGGUGAAAUUCGUAGAUAUUCGCAAGAACACCAGUGGCGAAGGCGGCUGACUGGUCCGGUUCUGACGCUGAGGCGGCGAAAAGCGUGGGGAGCAAACAGG
rnacentral:rRNA from 1 species